rnacentral:rRNA from 1 species
CCUACGGGAGGCAGCAGUAGGGAAUAUUGCUCAAUGGGGGAAACCCUGAAGCAGCAACGCCGCGUGGAGGAUGAAGGUUUUCGGAUUGUAAACUCCUUUUGUUAGAGAAGAUAAUGACGGUAUCUAACGAAUAAGCACCGGCUAACUCCGUUCCAGCAGCCGCGGUAAUACGGAGGGUGCAAGCGUUACACGGAAUCACUGGGCGUAAAGGGCGCGUAGGCGGGAUAGCAAGUCAGAUGUGAAAUCCUAUGGCUUAACCAUAGAACUGCAUUUGAAACUGUUAUUCUAGAGUAUGGGAGAGGUAGGUGGAAUUCUUGGUGUAGGGGUAAAAUCCGUAGAGAUCAAGAGGAAUACUCAUUGCGAAGGCGACCUGCUAGAACAUAACUGACGCUGAUGCGCGAAAGCGUGGGGAGCAAACAGGAUUAGAUACCCCAGUAGUC